AAUAUGUCUGCACAAUUUCAUGGACGGUUGCUUAAUAUUCAAAUGAGAUUGGAACUACGAUUGUAUGAAACGAGUGACGGAUAGAGCCCUGUUAAGCUGUAGGUAGUACAUAUAAGUUAUGAAAGCUAGGUGCAAGUUCCAAUCCAUUUCCAUGUAAAAAAAGUCCGCAAUGACGAUAAUUUGUGCUAUUACACAAUUUUUGUUUUGUCAAACGACGUACCUUUUACGCGAUUUUAAUUGAUGUGGACGCGAUUUUAGCUUGAUAUUUAUAGAGCGCACUUUCUUUUUACUUAGACUAAGUUUCAGUUAAAACGAGACAGAUUUAUGCCAGCGGUAUAACGCUGUCUCGUUUUAACAGUGUCUUAAGUCUGAGCAAAGUCAAAGUGCGCUCUACAGAUCUAAACCUUAAGAGUGCGGCCCAGCAAAUGCGUCGCGUUGAACAAUAAAAAAAAGAUGUACCGAAUUCGCCUUACAGGUUGGAAAUGACAUACAAGUAUUAUGUGCGCAGGGAAUAAUUUUCUCAAUGUAGUUACCUACCUAUGGGUUUUAAAAAGUUAAAACUGGCAUUGGCACAAGAUCACCGGGCAUUAAGUACUUAAUUAAAAAGGAGUGGAAAAAACGAGCCUACCACUCUGCCAAAUGUAAGUAUACGACCGGCAAUCAUUUCGUUAUAUAAAAUGACGCGAUGUCGUUUACUGAUAGCACGUCUCCGUGUGUUGUGUGUAUGCGUCAAAGUGACAGACUUCAUUGCAAAGAAAUUAGUGCAAAUCUCAACUUCUGUUGAUUGAGUAGGUACUUAAUGUCGCCGGGU